AUGCAGCUAUGAGACUGCGGACGGCUCAGUAUAUCAGUGAUUAUCUGUUUGAUUGUCUUACCCAUUGGAUAACCGUGGGAAAUCUAGAGCUAAUACAUGCAGUUCAUUGGCGUGAUCACAAGUUGCGUCAAAGCAUUUAUUAGACUUAACCAUCUACUGUACGCAAGUAUAGUAAGGCGAAUCUAGAUAACUUUGCUGAUCGUAUGGCCCUGUGCCGACGACGUUUCAAUUGAGUUUCUGCCCUAUCAAUUUGUUGGUAAGGUAUUGGCUUACCAAGGUUGCAACGGGUAACGGGGAAUCAGGGUUCGAUUCCGGAGAGGGAGCCUGAGAAACGGCUACCCGUAGAUAUCAAGGCAGCAGGCGCGCAAAUUACCCAAUCUAGACAGUAGGAGGUGGUGAAGAGAAGUACUUAGUGGUGGCCAAAUGGUCCCCAACUAGGAAUGAACGUAAUUUAAGCAAUUUCGAUGAGUAACUACUGGAGGGCAAGUCCUGGUGCCAGCAGCCGCGGUAAUUCCAGCUCCAGUGGCGUGAUUUAAAGUUGCUGCGUUUAAAACGCUCGUAGUUGGAUCACGCAGUGGCAUACAGUAACAUGAGCCGCGUUUUUUGACGAUUUUCUUCAACGAGAUUAUUGGAUUUGGACCGGUUUGUGUGUUUACGCUGUAUGUCACUAUUUGCACACAAGUAUGGUAUUUGGUCUUUAGUGAAUCGAGUAUCAUGUCUUGUGGAGUGUGCCUUGAAUAAAACAGAGUGCUCAAAGCAGGCGAACGCUUGAAUGUUAUAGCAUGGAACGAACAAACGUGUAUUUGUGCAUACUUGAGCGGUUGGGGGCAACUUUGACUGCUGAUCCUAGUGCAGCACCCGCCAAAAUACGGAUGUUGGUUUUCGUAUCAGGUGAUGAUUAACAGGAGCGGUUGGGGGCAUUGGUAUUUGGCCGCGAGAGGUGAAAUUCUUGGACCGGCCAAGGACUAACAGAUGCGAAGUGCACGAUGCUCACCGUUUCCAUUAAUCAAGAACGAAAGUGGGAGGUUCGAAGAGGAUCAGAUACCGUCCUAGUUCCCACUAUAAACUAUGCCGACCUGGGAUCAGUUUAGUGAUUAACAAGCUCUAGGUUGGUCCCCCUGGGAAACCUCAAGUUUUUCGGUUACGGGGAGAGUAUGGUCGCAAGUCUGAAACUUAAAGGAAUUGACGGAAGGGCACCACCAGGGGUGGAGCCUGCGGGCUUAAUUUGACUCAACACGGGGAAACUUACCUGGUCCGGACAUCGAAAGGAUAGACAGACUGAUAGAUCUUUCUUGAUGCGGUGAGUGGUGGUGCAUGGCCGACUGGCUCUCGUGGAGUGAUCUGUCAGGUUUAUUCCGGUAACGAACGAGACCACCUUCUCCAUUUAAGAAACAGUAGCAGGGCGUUGACCCACUGUUGCUUUGGUGGCAUUGGGCUGAUUCUCGCAGGUAGAAUUGUUAAAUUCCAUGGGUGUAAUGCAGGAGGUUCGCCGAAUGUGUUGCAUCUAUGAAAGGAGAUGAUUUUCCCUACUGUUAUGCAGUGUUGGGCAAAACCCAUACGCUGCCUUAUGGAGAGACAACAGGUUUAUAAAAGCCUGAGGAAGUGUGGCUCAUGUACGAUAGUGAUGCCCUUCGAUGUUCAGGGCUGCACGCGCGCUACAAUGAUAACAACAACAAGUAUCUGGGUCGAAAGACUUGGGUAAUCUAUAAUUGUUAUCGUGAUGGGGAUUGACGAUUGUAAAUUCGUCAUGAAAUAGGAAUCCCUAGUAUGUGUAAUUUAUUAAAUUUCACAGAUUUAGUCCCUGCCCUUUGUACACACCGCCCGUCGCUACUACCGAGUGAAUUAUGUCAUGAUGCUCUGGGACUGGACAUUGUACGGGUGUCAAAGCCUGAUCAUGCAGCACGCUAAUGCGCUAUAUGCAGCAAUUCA
rnacentral:rRNA from 1 species